rnacentral:misc_RNA from 1 species
UUAAGUUUUCUGCACCGAAACAAGCUCCAUUUCCCCGCAAUUGAAUUGGAUCUUUCAAAUUGAAUUAAACUCAUUUCUUUUGGCUCAGUCCUCUUCACAUUACAUUUUAUCUGCGCUGAAACAAUUUUAAUUUGCAUACAGCACUUGCCAAAAACCAAACGCGAAGAAAAAGAAUUAGAAAACCAGAGACCAACGGUCGCAGAAAAUGUUGCAGAAAACUAGAAAAUUUUGUCAGUUUGUUGUUUUUCCUUCUUGACGCUGUUGCGGUUGCUGUACCCCAUGGAUGGGAUGGAUCUGAUAUUUUCACGCUUAAUCACUAACUGUCCCUCUCGCCUGCCGCCCGUGAAUAAGUAACGCACUGUUUACGCCAUCUGGUGGGCAUUUGGUGAAGCUGUAGCCGAUCGUGAGAAUGUCUCCAUCUUUCGGGCUGAGUAUUACAGAACGACCUCUGGCGGCGAACUGGCACAUCACUUGUUGGCAACAUGUUGCUGGCUUCACUCAACAUUUUGAAUUCUCCCGAUUCUUUAUUUAUUACUCUUUUUCUUUCUUCGCAAACAGAUGUUUCCCCUUUAUUUUGGGAAAUUUCACGACUUAUGACAGCAGAAUUGCACUUUACUGGAUGAAAUGAAACUUAAUUGGCACCGCUUUACUCACGUCCGAUGAUCGAUUGCGUUUCGAUUGUCCACGAAUGGAAACGAUAAUACGAUGUGACACGGACACUGGCGAGACGAGCCGAUUGAUUCGGAUUGAGGAUUGGAAAUGAAAAUAUUGUACAAGAAUCUAUAUGUGCGAGGAGGUAUAGACGUGUGUAUAUUUCCUACACUUCACUUUACUGGCGCAGAAAAUCGCAUAUACACCGAGAAUGUAUAAUUAUAAAUAAAUGUUCUAUAAAAAACGC